UAUCAUCAUCAAGAAUCCUUAGAUGGAUGCCAACCGAGUAAAUACCACGGUGGCAAAAUAGAUGAGGUCGGAACGACAAAAACAUUCCCCCUA
rnacentral:ncRNA from 2 species